GACGGAGGGGGCUAGCGUUGUUCGGAAUUACUGGGCGUAAAGCGCGCGUAGGCGGCUUUGUAAGUUAGAGGUGAAAGCCCAGGGCUCAACCCUGGAAUUGCCUUUAAGACUGCAUCGCUUGAACAUCGGAGAGGUAAGUGGAAUUCCGAGUGUAGAGGUGAAAUUCGUAGAUAUUCGGAAGAACGCCAGUGGCGAAGGCGGCUCACUGGUCCGGUACUGACGCUGAGGUGCGAAAGCGUGGGGAGCAAACAGG
rnacentral:rRNA from 1 species